ACGAACGCUGGCGGCGUGCCUAAUACAUGCAAGUAGAACGCUGAAGAGAGGAGCUUGCUCUUCUUGGAUGAGUUGCGAACGGGUGAGUAACGCGUAGGUAACCUGCCUUGUAGCGGGGGAUAACUAUUGGAAACGAUAGCUAAUACCGCAUAACAAUGGAUGACACAUGUCAUUUAUUUGAAAGGGGCAAUUGCUCCACUACAAGAUGGACCUGCGUUGUAUUAGCUAGUAGGUGAGGUAACGGCUCACCUAGGCGACGAUACAUAGCCGACCUGAGAGGGUGAUCGGCCACACUGGGACUGAGACACGGCCCAGACUCCUACGGGAGGCAGCAGUAGGGAAUCUUCGGCAAUGGGGGCAACCCUGACCGAGCAACGCCGCGUGAGUGAAGAAGGUUUUCGGAUCGUAAAGCUCUGUUGUAAGUCAAGAACGAGUGUGAGAGUGGAAAGUUCACACUGUGACGGUAGCUUACCAGAAAGGGACGGCUAACUACGUGCCAGCAGCCGCGGUAAUACGUAGGUCCCGAGCGUUGUCCGGAUUUAUUGGGCGUAAAGCGAGCGCAGGCGGUUUGAUAAGUCUGAAGUUAAAGGCUGUGGCUCAACCAUAGUUCGCUUUGGAAACUGUCAAACUUGAGUGCAGAAGGGGAGAGUGGAAUUCCAUGUGUAGCGGUGAAAUGCGUAGAUAUAUGGAGGAACACCGGUGGCGAAAGCGGCUCUCUGGUCUGUAACUGACGCUGAGGCUCGAAAGCGUGGGGAGCGAACAGGAUUAGAUACCCUGGUAGUCCACGCCGUAAACGAUGAGUGCUAGGUGUUGGAUCCUUUCCGGGAUUCAGUGCCGCAGCUAACGCAUUAAGCACUCCGCCUGGGGAGUACGACCGCAAGGUUGAAACUCAAAGGAAUUGACGGGGGCCCGCACAAGCGGUGGAGCAUGUGGUUUAAUUCGAAGCAACGCGAAGAACCUUACCAGGUCUUGACAUCCUACUAACGAGAUAGAGAUAUGUUAGGUGCCCUUCGGGGAAAGUAGAGACAGGUGGUGCAUGGUUGUCGUCAGCUCGUGUCGUGAGAUGUUGGGUUAAGUCCCGCAACGAGCGCAACCCCUAUUGUUAGUUGCCAUCAUUCAGUUGGGCACUCUAGCGAGACUGCCGGUAAUAAACCGGAGGAAGGUGGGGAUGACGUCAAAUCAUCAUGCCCCUUAUGACCUGGGCUACACACGUGCUACAAUGGUUGGUACAACGAGUUGCGAGUCGGUGACGGCAAGCUAAUCUCUUAAAGCCAAUCUCAGUUCGGAUUGUAGGCUGCAACUCGCCUACAUGAAGUCGGAAUCGCUAGUAAUCGCGGAUCAGCACGCCGCGGUGAAUACGUUCCCGGGCCUUGUACACACCGCCCGUCACACCACGAGAGUUUGUAACACCCGAAGUCGGUGAGGUAACCUUUUGGAGCCAGCCGCCUAAGGUGGGAUAGAUGAUUGGGGUG
rnacentral:rRNA from 1 species